UCCUACGCCAUGUCUCUUUCUUUCUAUAGAUGCGUCCAGAUCAAGCGUCUGGCGGCGGCUCGGUCCGCAGGCGGCCGGCGGCGGCCCGUGGAGGCAGGGGAUAGAGGGCCGGGCAGCGGCUUCGACGGGAGACCCUCCACCACACCAUCUCUCCGAUCUUUUCUCUCUCUUUUUCUCCCCAUGGCCGCCAGCCACAUCGCGGUGGGGGAUCAGUGGAGGAACCGCCUUGGCGCCUUCACGAUGACGGCGUGGUCUUCCACGGGAGGUGAAGGCUACACUCGCUCCCUCCACGGGUCUUGGCGGUGAGGGCGCCGUGCGGCCGUCGAUUUCGAGGAUGGCGCUACAAGAGCCACCUCGAGGUCGCCGCCUCAUGGGUCCUCGAGGCCGUGGGCGCCCCGUAGUAGUUAGGGAUACAACCCCUGCCUCUAGAGGUCGGGGGCGGCGAGGACGCCGUGCGUCCGUCUCCUGUGGCCACUCCUCCGCAUUCGCGCGGCCCGGCGGCGCACGCAGCCUGGACCAUGUUUCGGGUCCGUUCGUUCAUGCUCAUGAACUUAUGGCUCUCCUUUUUUUUUCUUUUUCCAAUAAGACGCUCCGCUCUGGCUCCGAUAGUUUUGAUAAUCCCAGGUUGCUAAGAUGUGUUUCUUCUUUGUGUGCCCUCUGAUUUCCUGCGCUUCCUGCUUUUUUUCUUUUUUUUCAGAAUUGGCCGAUCAAGUCCCGUGGUAGUUUUAAUGAAAUUGACAUCCUUUUGUGCAGGCUUCUUGUGUGCAUCUGCGCUCUUGUGCUAAAAAAUAUGGGGCUAUGCAGUUAGCGGCGGCAAUGCAGAUCAUUUGGUGAAGAACGUCUCCAUAGGUAGUUUCAGUUCUGCAAAUGUGAACCAUAGUGUUGUCCACCGCAGGCCUUGCGUCCGGCAUGACCAGCUGACGGGCCAGGUUGUUACCUUUCUCCGGUGUGUUCUUUCCUGCGGGAUGGCCUGCAAGGUCCGCACCUGUGCGCUGAGGUUUGCACUCAGACUACAGCGGCUACUUCGUGGGGUUGUCCUUCAUUCUGUUCGGUUGUGUUGUUAGUAUUUCAUAUUGCCGAGGUUGUGCGUCUUUCUUCAGUUUAUGGUCGCGGCGUCGAUGUGUCAUCCUUGUGAGGAGAUAAGGCAUGCUAACUGGCCUAUUGCUUAUUUUGUAGGUUUGCUGCACUAAUUUGUCUGUUCUUAUAUGUGGUCUUUUUGGGUUUUAGCUCAUGUUCCUCAAGGUCAACAGCAACAGAUUCGUCUAUUUUGGUGAUCACAUCUAACUGGUUUGGAUCAUGCUGUUCUACAUUAUUGGGGAUGGUCUUCCUCUAACGUGUUUAAACCGGAGGCAUGACAGUGUGGUGCUCUAAUUAUUUUAUUUGCUGUAGGCAUUAUUUUCUCAUAUGUUUCAUUAAGAGGUAACCAACUUUCUUCUAGAGUACUUUCUGUCUCAUGAUGUCACAUUAUGACAUAUUGUUUAGAACUUCUAAGAUUUCAGGUAACCAACUUUCUUCUAGAGUACUUUCUUUCUCACGAUGUCACAUAAUGGCAUAUUUUUUUAGAACUUCCGAGAUUGCAGUAUGAAUACUAUUGUUUUUGGUGUCCAUCGCCUCUCAUCUCAUGGAUUAAUAUAAUGAUUGGUAGAUAACAUGUCUUUAAUUAGUUCUUCAUGUAGUAAUAUUUGAUAUUUCUUUACCCAAUAAUAAAUAAAGACAUUGCCAACAGAUACCUGUUACAAAAAUGGUACUGUACAUAGAAUUAUCCAUAUGCUAUAUAUGUGUUUUUCUACAAUUAGAUAACAAGGUAUUCAGUCCACACUGCACUGUACGAAAAGGAAAAACUCAUCUACCAUCAAGUAACUUUUAGCAGUUCGUUCACCAAUUUUCAACUUUCUCCGCAUAUUAUGUGCCCAUAUGAACCGGCUAGAAAAAAAUGUAAUGUUCUAAUGACCAUAAUCUAUUGUUAAGAACUAAAAAAUCCAGGUUCACACUUUGCUCCAUGCUUUUAAUUAAUUUGUAUGUGGCUUAUAACUUUUCAGAGAUCUCUUUCGACUUCUACCAGCCUCUUUUCACGUAUUAUUGCUCUAUACCCUCUCAUGGCUUUAAGGUUUUUCUCCAAAUUCACAUGCAGUGUGAUAAAACACCUGAAAUUGCAUCUGAUCAUGUACUAUUUUGUUGAAAUAUAUGUCAGGUAAUCCUUGGACUGCUGAUGCACUGCAGUACACAUCUAUUGCCUCUGGUACCUCAUGCAUCCACAGGCCAGCGGUGCCAUUUGUUCUUACCUAAUAUGGAGCUCAUUAGCCACACUAUUACAAUCUCUCUUCACUUUCUGAAAACUAUAAAACUGAAAAGCUUUUCUACCCUCUUUAAUAGAGCUGUAGAUACUUCAGUGUCUAGAGAACUGUUUUGACUUGAGGAGUUCACAGCUUGGCACUUUUAAUGAUUACCGGUUUUUUAACUCAGGUAGCAACAAAUUUGAUGGCAUCAAUGCCACCAUGAUCAUGAGCCACCAGGGCAUUGCCCGCCUCCCCUGUCUACUCAAUAAACGGGGCAUCAACAUUGAUUUUUGUGCUGCCAGUAAUCGGACGAGGUCAACUGUUAGCAGAUUAGGAAAUAGUGGCUGAGUUCAUAGGAGCCUGAUCUAAAAGAGCAGCGCUAAACAGAGGCCGACUUUUCUCUAUUCACUUGAAAUAGAUUUGACACUUGCUUUUGAAUAUAUCCAUACGCCACACGUCACCACAUGCCCACUAUCUUGCAACAGAAAUACCUUUUGUUCUUCAGCUAAUGUCUACAAGAAAGGCACGGUGUGCCGCCGCGCCAGUCCCUAAGUUAAGGAGGAUAAGCAGGAAGAAGAAGCAGAAGCUGGGGUCUCUACUCUAAUCCAUUCGAUUCCUUUUGGCUUUACCACAUUGAUUCUCUCGCAACUGAUAGUUCUUUGCUGAUUUACCUGUGCAUAUCUCAAACAACUGAGUCAGAACCCACAUGUAUGGAACUUGUGUGUGUGUGUGAUGCUGAUUGUAUUCAUUUGACUGUAAAGUUCAGGUUUCUAUUCUUAGCUCAAUAUACAAAUUGAUGCUGAAGCCUUUAUAGGUAACAUGAAUUUUUCCA